UUAAGUUAUUAAGGGCGCACGGUGGAUGCCUUGGCACUAGAAGCCGAUGAAGGACGUUACUAACGACGAUAUGCUUUGGGGAGCUGUAAGUAAGCUUUGAUCCAGAGAUUUCCGAAUGGGGAAACCCAGCAUGAGUUAUGUCAUGUUAUCGAUAUGUGAAUACAUAGCAUAUCAGAAGGCACACCCGGAGAACUGAAACAUCUUAGUACCCGGAGGAAGAAAAAGAAAAUUCGAUUCCCUUAGUAGCGGCGAGCGAAACGGGAAGAGCCCAAACCAACAAGCUUGCUUGUUGGGGUUGUAGGACACUCUAUACGGAGUUACAAAGGACGACAUUAGACGAAUCAUCUGGAAAGAUGAAUCAAAGAAGGUAAUAAUCCUGUAGUCGAAAAUGUUGUCUCUCUUGAGUGGAUCCUGAGUACGACGGAACACGUGAAAUUCCGUCGGAAUCUGGGAGGACCAUCUCCUAAGGCUAAAUACUCUCUAGUGACCGAUAGUGAACCAGUACCGUGAGGGAAAGGUGAAAAGCACCCCGGAAGGGGAGUGAAAUAGAACCUGAAACCGUGUGCUUACAAGUAGUCAGAGCCCGUUAAUGGGUGAUGGCGUGCCUUUUGUAGAAUGAACCGGCGAGUUACGAUUUGAUGCAAGGUUAAGCAGUAAAUGUGGAGCCGUAGCGAAAGCGAGUCUGAAUAGGGCGUUUAGUAUUUGGUCGUAGACCCGAAACCAGGUGAUCUACCCUUGGUCAGGUUGAAGUUCAGGUAACACUGAAUGGAGGACCGAACCGACUUACGUUGAAAAGUGAGCGGAUGAACUGAGGGUAGCGGAGAAAUUCCAAUCGAACCUGGAGAUAGCUGGUUCUCUCCGAAAUAGCUUUAGGGCUAGCCUCAAGUGAUGAUUAUUGGAGGUAGAGCACUGUUUGGACGAGGGGCCCCUCUCGGGUUACCGAAUUCAGACAAACUCCGAAUGCCAAUUAAUUUAACUUGGGAGUCAGAACAUGGGUGAUAAGGUCCGUGUUCGAAAGGGAAACAGCCCAGACCACCAGCUAAGGUCCCAAAAUAUAUGUUAAGUGGAAAAGGAUGUGGCGUUGCCCAGACAACUAGGAUGUUGGCUUAGAAGCAGCCAUCAUUUAAAGAGUGCGUAAUAGCUCACUAGUCGAGUGACACUGCGCCGAAAAUGUACCGGGGCUAAACAUAUUACCGAAGCUGUGGAUUGUCCUUUGGACAAUGGUAGGAGAGCGUUCUAAGGGCGUUGAAGCAUGAUCGUAAGGACAUGUGGAGCGCUUAGAAGUGAGAAUGCCGGUGUGAGUAGCGAAAGACGGGUGAGAAUCCCGUCCACCGAUUGACUAAGGUUUCCAGAGGAAGGCUCGUCCGCUCUGGGUUAGUCGGGUCCUAAGCUGAGGCCGACAGGCGUAGGCGAUGGAUAACAGGUUGAUAUUCCUGUACCACCUAUAAUCGUUUUAAUCGAUGGGGGGACGCAGUAGGAUAGGCGAAGCGUGCGAUUGGAUUGCACGUCUAAGCAGUAAGGCUGAGUAUUAGGCAAAUCCGGUACUCGUUAAGGCUGAGCUGUGAUGGGGAGAAGACAUUGAGUCUUCGAGUCGUUGAUUUCACACUGCCGAGAAAAGCCUCUAGAUAGAAAAUAGGUGCCCGUACCGCAAACCGACACAGGUAGUCAAGAUGAGAAUUCUAAGGUGAGCGAGCGAACUCUCGUUAAGGAACUCGGCAAAAUGACCCCGUAACUUCGGGAGAAGGGGUGCUCUUUAGGGUUAACGCCCAGAAGAGCCGCAGUGAAUAGGCCCAAGCGACUGUUUAUCAAAAACACAGGUCUCUGCUAAACCGUAAGGUGAUGUAUAGGGGCUGACGCCUGCCCGGUGCUGGAAGGUUAAGAGGAGUGGUUAGCUUCUGCGAAGCUACGAAUCGAAGCCCCAGUAAACGGCGGCCGUAACUAUAACGGUCCUAAGGUAGCGAAAUUCCUUGUCGGGUAAGUUCCGACCCGCACGAAAGGCGUAACGAUUUGGGCACUGUCUCAACGAGAGACUCGGUGAAAUCAUAGUACCUGUGAAGAUGCAGGUUACCCGCGACAGGACGGAAAGACCCCGUGGAGCUUUACUGUAGCCUGAUAUUGAAAUUCGGCACAGCUUGUACAGGAUAGGUAGGAGCCUUUGAAACGUGAGCGCUAGCUUACGUGGAGGCGCUGGUGGGAUACUACCCUAGCUGUGUUGGCUUUCUAACCCGCACCACUUAUCGUGAUGGGAGACAGUGUCAGGCGGGCAGUUUGACUGGGGCGGUCGCCUCCUAAAAGGUAACGGAGGCGCUCAAAGGUUCCCUCAGAAUGGUUGGAAAUCAUUCAUAGAGUGUAAAGGCAUAAGGGAGCUUGACUGCGAGACCUACAAGUCGAGCAGGGUCGAAAGACGGACUUAGUGAUCCGGUGGUUCCGCAUGGAAGGGCCAUCGCUCAACGGAUAAAAGCUACCCCGGGGAUAACAGGCUUAUCUCCCCCAAGAGUUCACAUCGACGGGGAGGUUUGGCACCUCGAUGUCGGCUCAUCGCAUCCUGGGGCUGUAGUCGGUCCCAAGGGUUGGGCUGUUCGCCCAUUAAAGCGGUACGCGAGCUGGGUUCAGAACGUCGUGAGACAGUUCGGUCCCUAUCCGUCGUGGGCGUAGGAAAUUUGAGAGGAGCUGUCCUUAGUACGAGAGGACCGGGAUGGACAUACCUCUGGUGUACCAGUUGUCGUGCCAACGGCAUAGCUGGGUAGCUAUGUGUGGACGGGAUAAGUGCUGAAAGCAUCUAAGCAUGAAGCCCCCCUCAAGAUGAGAUUUCCCAACUUCGGUUAUAAGAUCCCUCAAAGAUGAUGAGGUUAAUAGGUUCGAGGUGGAAGCAUGGUGACAUGUGGAGCUGACGAAUACUAAUCGAUCGAAGACUUAAUCAA
rnacentral:rRNA from 1 species